rnacentral:lncRNA from 1 species
AUGCUAUUAUGAGUAUUGGAGCCCUCAUACUCAUAAAUUGUUUUCGAUGAUGGAGCUUCCGAAUCAACGAUCCACUCCAUUAAAUAUGAUCUAGAGUAUUUGAAACUUAUAGAAAAUAAAUUUCGUAAAUUUUCGAAAUCAUAAUAAAGUCCAUCAAGCAUGCAUAAGAUGAACGGUCAAAAUCGAACGACGUCCUACAAAAGGAUGAUCGGAUCCUUCAAUUCAAGAUCAGAGUUAUUGAUCUUUAUCUAGGUAGUGAAUAAAAUUUUCUAUCAAAAAUUCAACAAACUCUGAUUCUUUUACACCGUUAAACUAGCAAGUAUCCCAUACUGGCCAUUAAAAAGUGUCAAAUUUGUGACCUCUUGAUCGUAAGGUAAAUGAUGUCGAAAAAUUAUAAAAUUUGAUUUUUAAAAGUUUUAAAUGUUGUAAAUAACGUUUAACGGUAUGGAUCGUCGAUUCGGAAACUCUAUCAUCGAAAAUGAUUUAUGCGUACGAGAGCGAUCGUACUCAUAAUAGUAUAGUAGCCGGACCCUAUAUAUAUAUAUAUAUAGAAUUAGGCUACUAUACUAUCUAUAGUACCGGAGCUCCGGUACUAUAGUCUUGUUUUCGAUCUUAGGGUAUUCAAAUUAACGAUCCACACCAUUAAAUAUGAUCUAGGGUAUAUGAAGUUCUUAGAAAUAAAAUUUUAGUUUUUUUCGACAUCGUUUACUUAGUAAAUAAAUUAUGUCAAAAUGGACGGUGGAAAUUGAAUAAUCUUUAAAAUUUGAGUAUAGGACUUUUAAAUUCAAAAUCAAGAAUGUUAACCUUAAUCUAAAUAGUUUAAAGUAUUUUCUAUCAAAAUUUGAAGAAAUUUAGAUUCUUCUACACCGUUAAACUCCAAACUCGCCAUAGUAGCUGUUACGCCCCGAGCCCGAUCCUUUUGGCCGGUUCAAGCGCGUCGAACAGACGUCGAACGGACAGAGCCUCCCCUGUCCGCCCAAGGCUCAACAACAAGUAUCAAUAGAGUAAAAUAUUGCACAUGCGGAAGCAAACACAAUGGCUUGCACGAGGGCAAGCAAUAGCCAAAAGUGAAAGUAAUAAACUAAGGAAAAUUAUUUACAUUUUUGCAUCAUUUCUUCUCUUUUACAUCACAUGAUAUCUCAAAAUAUAAGUCUUGCAUUGAAAUACAAAGUAUCUUAUACAUCAUUCAUUUAACAUGUUCAUAAUACUAAAGUCAUCGAAAUACAAAAGAUGAUAACUAAAGGGUAUGCAAC